rnacentral:sRNA from 1 species
CAUUCCAUUCUCAUUGUCACCAAGGGAGGGGUUAAGAGAACCAGAGUGCCUCCUCCCAAUGACAGCAGUGAGGCCAGGACCGGUAGUCCUUUGAAGGUUAAGCAUAUCUCCUUCAAAACAGGUGACGAGCUCAUCUUCUUGGACCCUCACACAACCCAGACCUUUGUCGACACUGAAGAGAAUGGAACGGUUAAUGACCAGACUUUCCAUUGCCUGCAGUCCCCACAGCGAAUGAACAUCCUGAACCUGGAUCCUUCAGUUGCAUUGGGAUUUUUCUGCAAAGAAGAAAAAGACUUUGAUAACUGGUGUAGCCUUGUUCAGAAGGUAAAGCUAUAUGUUUUUCUUAGUCUGAAAAAUGAAGUUACUCUAUUUUAUUCCUUUUCAAGAUUGUUUUUCAUGGUAAAAAAAUCCUACUCUGAUACGACUUUACUGCAAGAGAAAGAAACUAAGGCAACAAAGAAACUAUCAGGAAAUUCUAAAGGAGAAUUUAAGGAUGUUUGA